ACUCCUACGGGAGGCAGCAGUGAGGAAUAUUGCGCAAUGGGCGAAAGCCUGACGCAGCGACACCGCGUGAAGGAUGAAGGCUUUCGAGUCGUAAACUUCUGUUAAGUGGGAAGAAAAGCUCAUUUCUAAUAAAAAUGAGUAAUGACGGUACCAUUAGAGAAAGCACCGGCUAAACUCGUGCCAGCAGCCGCGGUAAUACGAGUGGUGCAAGCGUUAUUCGGAAUCAUUGGGCGUAAAGGGUGCGUAGGCGGCAUGCUAAGUCAACUGUUAAAUCUUCCGGCCUAACUGGAAGCUUGCAGUAGAUACUGGUGUGCUAGAGGUUGGAAGAGAGAAGUGGAAUUCUCGGAGUAGCGGUAAAAUGCGUAGAUCUCGAGAGGAACACCGAUGGCGAAGGCAGCUUCUUGGUCCAAAUCUGACGCUGAGGCACGAAAGCGUGGGGAGCAAACAGGAUUAGAUACCCUGGUAGGCUCUGCU
rnacentral:rRNA from 1 species